UUGUGGUUACUUAUUGUGCUAUGAAGCUUCUGUUUUUUCCUUUUAUGCCCAAGAUUGAAUUUGUUCUCUCCGCUGUUGAAAAGUAGAACUCUCUCUAUCUCAAAAAAAUAUGAUCAAGUGUGAAGUUUGGUUGUCUCUCUCUCCAUAAACUUAUAUUCCAUAUUGCACCCAUCAACUCUAAUCAUUCCUUGAUCUAGUGUAGUUUUUACCAUAUGUUUAACCUUAGACUUCUUUUCAUGCCUGUCCUCCCUCUAAAUCAAUUGAGGAUUCAAAUUCAGCAGGUCCAUCUCAAGAUAUAGCUAAAACAAUUCCAACUCCUAAAAAGGUGUAAUUUGUUAAUCCCCUAUCCUUGGAGUUAAUUUUUAGUGAUGUGUUUUUAAUAGAAUUGCAUAUUUGAGUAGUGAGUUUUUCAAGGGAACUUUAACAAAAAACUUCUGGUACUGUUCACUUUAACGAAUAACCACAUUUUACACUAAAAAGUUAAUCCUGGUACUAUUCACUUUACCCUUUAUUUUGUCCUUAUCAUUAAAACUCACAGUUUUCAAGUCCCUUUCUUUAGUUUUCCUUUU
rnacentral:lncRNA from 1 species